UUACAAUAAGGGAGGUGCUAUCCACAUCCCUUUUUACUUCUCACGCAUUCUUGUUAAUUUUUGUCUGUGUGAUCUUAUUCAAUUUAUUAGAUCCGACAACCAAAAAUUAUAAAAAAAUACGUGAGAAAUGAAAAGGAAUAUCACACCCCUUACAACAAACAUGGCAUUGUACUGCUUACGAGUUCCGAACGCUGAGGCGGCGACGGCGGCCGCCGCUCAGUUUCCAAGUCGGCAUUCGGUUUUCGGCACAAAAAAUGAAUUCGAGCAGCUCGAGCUCCACAAAUCUCGACUACUUCGAUGACAUGUGGAAGCUCCAAUCCACCGCCACAUUGCUAUCCUUAUCUGAAGCCAGUUGCUUUUCACUUCACACUCUUCAGUCCUUUCCUUUCUGUUAUGUUUCUUUCUCGAGAGAACCUGCAAGGUAAGCAGACGAUUUUUCCAUCCGCAAGGCAGUGGUCAACCUGCCGAUACAGGCGUCAUCGCCGUUGCCGAUUCCGGCAUCAAAUUCGUAGCCGAAGAUAUGCGGUGCAAAGACGGCAUAGUUUUCCACUACGGUUUCGUUGAGAGUUCCGGCGAGGAAUUGGAGUCCGAAAUUCAGAAAGGUAAAGCGGUGGUGGUGUGUGUGGAUGAGUCAAGCAAAAGCUAAUUACGCAUAUACUCGAAGAAAUCGACUCAUUUGAUUGUUUAAGUUUAUCAUGUAAGUUGCUGUGCCUGUUCUUUGAUUAAACAAUUAUUGUACAACGAACUCCAAGUUCGAUUUUCGGCCAAAAUACUCUGAAGCUCGUUUGCUUACUCGUUGUUUCAUAAUUCAUAUUUUGAUGAUUGAUUGUGGAGUUGUUUUUGUGCAGGCUUCACUCGGCCGGACAUUUGCUGGAUGCAUACAUGUAUGAGAAAUGUGGGAUUGGGUGAUUUAGAGCCAGCCAAAGGCUACCAUUUCCCUCCGGGGCCAUAUGCGGAAUAUAAAAGCACAGUUCCGCAAAAAGAUAUAGCAAGUAAGCAAAAGGAGUUGAAGGUAGAAGUUAAUGCAUUAAUAUCGAGAGGAGGAAAAGUGAGUUGCAAUAUUUAUCUGAUAUGAAUUUGCAUGCUUGGUAUGGUAUAUUAGGCCAUUUCUAACCGAGGGCUGGCCAGAUGACUCGUUUUAGCUCUUUGGCUUUCCAAGAUAUUAAUAUUUUAAUGAACAAUACGGGGCCAUAUUUGCCUUCAUCUCCAACCGAGGGGCAAAGGGCCAUAAGGUUUGUUUUAGCCCUGUCACAAAAAACCGUUGUG